rnacentral:rRNA from 1 species
UACAGAGGUCUCAAGCGUUGUUCGGAUUCAUUGGGCGUAAAGGGUGUGUAGGUGGCGCUGUAAGUCGGGUGUGAAAUCUCGGGGCUUAACUCCGAAACUGCAUUCGAUACUGCGGUGCUUGAGGACUGGAGAGGAGACUGGAAUUCAUGGUGUAGCAGUGAAAUGCGUAGAGAUGUGGAGGAACACCAGUGGCGAAGGCGACUCUUUGGCCUGUAACUGACGCUGAGGCGCGAAAGCGUGGGGAGCAAACGGG